rnacentral:scRNA from 1 species
GCGUUGCCAUCUGGGUCCUGAUGCUCGACCGC